GAUGAGAACGCAGCGAAAUGCGAUAAGUAAUGUGAAUUGCAGAAUUCAGUGAAUCAUCGAAUCUUUGAACGCACCUUGCACCCUUUGGUAUUCCGAAGGGUAUGCUCGUUUGAGUGUCAUUGUACUCUCACACUUCUAAUUCCUUUCGGGAUUGGGAGCGGUGGACUUGGGUGUUGCUGCUUUAGUUGUGGCUCACCUCAAAUAAGUUAGUGCAACUCUUGGUUGGACAUAGUACGGCGUGAUAAGUGUCUUCGCCGGCGCCUCUGUAAGGAGGGUGGCCGAUCGGGAGCUCUGUGCUUCAAACCGUCUUCGGACAAUCUUUGACAACUUGACCUCAAAUCGAGUAGGACUACCCGCUGAACUUAAGCAUAUCAAUAAGCGGAGGA
rnacentral:misc_RNA from 1 species